CCUACGGGUGGCAGCAGUGAGGAAUAUUGGUCAAUGGGCGCGAGCCUGAACCAGCCAAGUCGCGUGAAGGAUGACUGCCCUACGGGUUGUAAACUUCUUUUAUAAAGGAAUAAAGUGAGGCACGUGUGCCUUUUUGUAUGUACUUUAUGAAUAAGGCUCGGCUAACUCUGUGCCAGCAGCCGCGGUAAUACGGAGGAACUGAGCGUUAACCGGAUUUAUUGGGUUUAAAGGGAGCGUAGAUGGGUUGGUAAGUCAGUUGUGAAAGUUUGCGGCUUAACCGUAAAAUUGCAAUUGAUACUGGCAGUCUUGAGUACAGUUGAGGUAGGCGGAAUUCGUGGUGUAGCGGUGAAAUGCUUAGAUAUCACGAAGAACUCCGAUUGCGAAGGCAGCUUACUAAACUGCAACUGACAUUGAGGCUCGAAAGUGUGGGUAGCAAACAGGAUUAGAUACCCGAGUAGUC
rnacentral:rRNA from 1 species